UAGGGAAUCUUCGGCAAUGGACGGAAGUCUGACCGAGCAACGCCGCGUGAGUGAAGAAGGUUUUCGGAUCGUAAAGCUCUGUUGUUAUAGAAGAACGUUGGUAGGAGUGGAAAAUCUACCAAGUGACGGUAACUAACCAGAAAGGGACGGCUAACUACGUGCCAGCAGCCGCGGUAAUACGUAGGUCCCGAGCGUUGUCCGGAUUUAUUGGGCGUAAAGCGAGCGCAGGCGGUUCUUUAAGUCUGAAGUUAAAGGCAGUGGCUUAACCAGUGUACGCUUUGGAAACUGGAGGACUUGAGUGCAGAAGGGGAGAGUGGUAUUCCAUGUGUAGCGGUGAAAUGCGUAGAUAUAUGGAGGAACACCGGUGGCGAAAGCGGCUCUCUGGUCUGUAACUGACGCUGAGGCUCGAAAGCGUGGGGAGCAAACAGG
rnacentral:rRNA from 1 species